ensembl:lncRNA
GAGGAAGCUGUAGCUGUUACUGUAUGCUAAGGCAUCAUUAUCGCUAAUUCGCUGAAUUUGACCUCUUGCAGUGCGGUUUGGAGCCUUUUUAUUGGGUUUAUUUGACUAACAGGCUUUCCCAGUCUGUGUCUGGAGUCUGUGCUCCAGUUCCGAUGAUCCCAGACUGCUUCAAUAAUGCUGAGGUCUGGGCUCUGGGGAGGCCAAUCCAUGACUGGUAGUUUCCCAGAGCUCCGACUCCCAGCCCCCACCCCAGUAUUUUUGAGAAUGACCCAACACUUGUGCACAAACACCGUGUCACGUACCAAGAUAAACACACUCCCACCAGAGCCUGUAUCAGCGGCCGAGAUAA